GCUCCUGAGGGCUCAGCUGUUUUCUCUGAGAAUUGUUUACAGUUCCGAGUGUCCGAUCACUUCAUUGUGCUCACUUCAUUGUGCUACGUCUGGUAGUCUUUCCACUAACAGCUACCGUCUCUCUCCUCUGCAUAUUGUGAAAAUUAACUAAUAUGUGUAGACGAGAGAACUUUAGUUUUAAAAUUCGGGAGCUCCCAAUGAUCAUGCUUUGGGAGCUGGUAACUUAAAAUGUGGAGAUUUAGAUAAAAAUGCAAUCGCUUGAUUUCAGCCUCUCCUGUGGUGCCUUCCUCAGGGGACAGGGGCUGGAGGGUGUGGUGGGGAGUGGUGUUUGUGCUUCCCAGCAGAUCUGCAGCGUGUAGCCGCCUCAUGCACUGGAAUGACACAGGGCUAUGGUGCUGACCGUGGGCCCACGUGGGACUCAUUCUGGUUCUCUACUGUUCCUUCUCUCCACAGACACACCAUCUUUGCCAGCAACACGUCUUCUUUGCAGAUCACAAACAUAGCCAAUGCCACCACCAGACAAGACCGAUUUGCUGGCCUCCACUUUUUCAACCCUGUCCCCAUGAUGAAGCUUGUGGAGGUCAGUGGGCACCUGGUCCUUAUGUGGUGUGAAACUUAACGGGAACCUGGAAGGUCGAUACAAAAGAACCUUUGUGUUUCUGUUGUGGCAAUUGUCCUCUUCAGGAAAGAAAG
rnacentral:lncRNA from 1 species